UGGCUCAGAUUGAACGCUGGCGGCAGGCCUAACACAUGCAAGUCGAACGGUAACAGGAAGCAGCUUGCUGCUUUGCUGACGAGUGGCGGACGGGUGAGUAAUGUCUGGGAAACUGCCUGAUGGAGGGGGAUAACUACUGGAAACGGUAGCUAAUACCGCAUAACGUCGCAAGACCAAAGAGGGGGACCUUCGGGCCUCUUGCCAUCGGAUGUGCCCAGAUGGGAUUAGCUAGUAGGUGGGGUAACGGCUCACCUAGGCGACGAUCCCUAGCUGGUCUGAGAGGAUGACCAGCCACACUGGAACUGAGACACGGUCCAGACUCCUACGGGAGGCAGCAGUGGGGAAUAUUGCACAAUGGGCGCAAGCCUGAUGCAGCCAUGCCGCGUGUAUGAAGAAGGCCUUCGGGUUGUAAAGUACUUUCAGCGGGGAGGAAGGCGAUAAGGUUAAUAACCUUGUCGAUUGACGUUACCCGCAGAAGAAGCACCGGCUAACUCCGUGCCAGCAGCCGCGGUAAUACGGAGGGUGCAAGCGUUAAUCGGAAUUACUGGGCGUAAAGCGCACGCAGGCGGUCUGUCAAGUCGGAUGUGAAAUCCCCGGGCUCAACCUGGGAACUGCAUUCGAAACUGGCAGGCUAGAGUCUUGUAGAGGGGGGUAGAAUUCCAGGUGUAGCGGUGAAAUGCGUAGAGAUCUGUAGGAAUACCGGUGGCGAAGGCGGCCCCCUGGAACAAAGACUGACGCUCAGGUGCGAAAGCGUGG
rnacentral:rRNA from 1 species